rnacentral:lncRNA from 1 species
AAAUAACUGUAUUGCCAUAAGUUAAGAAUACUCACAAAUAGUUUCCAAAUUCUGGAGAAAUCAGGUAGAGAAACAAAUAUGCUCCAAAUUUUGUUCAUAGGACUGUACUAAAUUGUUAAAAGCUGUUGGCCAGGCACGGUGGCUCACGCCUGUAAUCCCAGCAUUUUGGGAGGCCGAGGCAGGCAGAUCACGAGGUCAGGAGUUCAAGACCAUCCUGACCAACAUGCUGAAACUCUGUCUCUACUAAAAAUACAAAAAUUAGCCAGGUGUAGUGGUGUGCACCUGUAAUCCCAGCUACUCGGGAGGCUAGGGGAGGAGAAUCGCUUGAACCCAGGAGCCAGAGGUUGCAGUGAGCCGAGAUCCUGCCAUUGCACUCCAGCCUGGGUGACAGAGUGAGACUUCGUCUAAAAAAAAAAAAAAAGGCCAGGCACGGUGGCUCAUGCCUGUAAUCCCAGCACUUUGGGAGGCCAAGGUGGGCAGAUCACGAGGUCAGGAGAUCGAGACCACGGUGAAACCCUGUCUCUACCAAAAAUACAAAAAAUUAGCCGGGCGCGGUGGUGGGCGCCUGUAGCCCCAG